GGGGGGGGGGAGUGAAUAGCGUUAUAAUAAAAAUUAGCGUAAACUUGCGGAAUUUAAAAAUUGCAGGAAAGAAAUAAGCGCGAUAAGUAAAUAAAUAAGAACGAACGCACCGAUGUAUCCUGGUUCACCACAACCCGUGGCUAGUCCAGUCCCCGAGAGACUCUCUCGAGAUUUCCACUAACACUGUUAAGCUUACGGGUGCUCAACAAACCUUUACACACUGAGGACACAAGUCUCAACAACCUUUGCUCGAAAAUACAACACUACAAGACUUCAACCAAAGGUAACACAAGUUCCUUCUUACAAUACAAGGGAACAACUUUCCCUUCAAGUGUAUAAAAAAACUUUGCACUCAAAACAAGACUCUCCUUAAGAGUAGAUAUGAGUAAAAUAAAUACGCUCAAGAACGCAACAACUUUCGUCAAGAAUUUGNNNNN
rnacentral:lncRNA from 1 species